rnacentral:rRNA from 1 species
GACGAACGCUGGCGGCGUGCCAAUACAUGCAAGUCGAACGAACCGCGACUAAGUGCUUGCACUAAGUCAAGGUGAGUGGCGAACGGGUGAGUAACACGUGGGUAACCUACCUCAUAGUGGGGGAUAACAGUCGGAAACGACUGCUAAUACCGCAUAGGACAUAGGAUCACAUGAUCCAGUGAGGAAAGGUGGCGCAAGCUAUCGCUAAGAGAUGGACCCGCGGUGCAUUAGCUAGUUGGUAGGGUAAAGGCCUACCAAGGCGAUGAUGCAUAGCCGACCUGAGAGGGUGAUCGGCCACAUUGGGACUGAGACACGGCCCAAACUCCUACGGGAGGCAGCAGUAGGGAAUCUUCCGCAAUGGACGCAAGUCUGACGGAGCAACGCCGCGUGAGUGAAGAAGGUCUUCGGAUCGUAAAGCUCUGUUGUUAGAGAAGAACAGCGCAUAGAGUAACUGCUAUGCGUGUGACGGUAUCUAACCAGAAAGCCACGGCUAACUACGUG